rnacentral:lncRNA from 1 species
UGAGUUUUGAUGGGUCAAUCCCGGACCGGGAGAGGAACGGGCAGAGACAUUCAAGGUUCGCGGUUUUGGCCACUGUGCAGCAGGCGGGAGUCGGAGGUGGCGGGUAGUUUCCAGUGACCGCUGGACGACAUUUCUGCAAGUCAUUUGUGUUGACUUUACAUAGGGGAAUGCUCUUAGCUUCUUGGAUCAUCAUUGCUGCGGUUAAAACCAUAGCAAGAACUGUGAUGAGGAUUCUGGCAUUGUUCUUACCCAUUUCUGUCUUUUUUUACUAAUAUCUCACUGUCUCUUCUCUCUCUCUCUCUCUCUCUCUCUCUCAGCUAUAUCGUGAAAACUUAAAGAUAGUGAGCUUCUUAUAUAGCAAUGUUAAUGAUAAGUGAAAGUUGGUCAAACAGUAAAGCAUGUCACGGGUCUUUUACGUCAACAAUUUGUAAGCAAACAGACAAAUGUGGGAGACCUUAGUUUCAUGUAUAAGUCUUUGGGUUGGUGGGUGAAAGAAUUUUUUCCUUCACGUGACCCGAUGGGUUUUGGCCUUUGUAUUUUGUUCUGCCCUUGUCAUUAUCAAGUCAUAAACAUUUGUUUACAACUAAAAAAAUUGUCUACUGUCAUGUAACACCAGGUGACUAGGUCUCUGGUUUUGUGAACGUACUCAGCUAUUCUGCUUCCUUAUGAUUCAAGUCACAACCCCAUGUUAAUAUUGAGGUAAAGAAACCCCGUUUUAAAUGAGGUAAAGAAAGCCCGGCUUUUUUUUUUAACAACGAAAUCCCGCCUUAUAAGAAGUUGAUUAACUUUAACUUUUCACCAUAGCAAAGCUUUAAUGCUAACUGAAAGGUGCUAGUAACGUAAGAUAUGUAUCAUUAGGAGUCUUUUGGGUUUAGAUGCAUUAUUGCAUUAUUAUUUUAAUAUAUAUGGAUUACAUAUGGAUUGCAUAGUUGCAUUAUUAUUUUAAUAUAUAUGGAUUGCAUAAUUGUUUUGGUUCUUUUUAAGUUGCAUUUUGUUUCUUAAUAAAUACUAGAUGAUAACAUACGCGUAUGCAUGGAUUGAGUUUUUUUAUAUUAAUGUUUGUUCAUUAAAUGGUUUUAACAUUUUGCAACAUUACAAUUUUUAUCGAAUGUAAAAUGAAAAAUAUAAAUGUUGGUCUCUUAAAUGUAACACCGUUGUUGAAAAGUAUUACAACUAAUUUUAAUUAUUUUUAACUAAUUACAUUUUAAUUGUGAAGGCUAACAAUUACAACAAUUACAACUAAUUUUAAUUAUUUUUAAAACUUCAUAUGCACAAAAAAAUUAAGUUUUGCUGCUGACACAAAUCACCAAAACCACUAGAUAGACAACAUCGAUUGUAAAAUGACGAAUGAGGAUUAUGUUUUCUUCUCUCGAUUUGUUUACUAAUGACUCUCUAUUAGUUAUCAUCUAAUAUUAAGAUAUCAAUAAUUUUUCAAAGCAAAUUUUGAAGUUAACAUAUUUUUAUAUUUUAUAUAGUAUAUAAUUUAAUUUAAAUGAUAAUAAUAUUAAUAUAUAUAUAUAUAUAUAUAAUAUGAAUAUUUAUUAAUGAGACUUGAUAUUCAUAUGAUUUAUGAUCAUUUGUAUCUUGCUUGAAUAGAAGAAAAAAAGUUAAAUCAUUGAUCACAAAAUUUUCAAUGUGAGACUUUUCAACUUUUAGUAAUUUAUAGUCAUUUCAAAAAUUCAAAAUAUAACGUAUACAAAAAUCUAAUUUUUUUUAUUAUAUGCUUCAUUUGAUUGUUUAUUUCUUUUAAUAAUAUAAAAUUAAACAAAAAAGAGAGGAUACAAAAUUGAUAUCAAAUAUGUAUUAUUCAUACAUUGUCAUAUAUAUGUUAAUCAUAUUAGGUAAUUCCAUAAUUUUUAUUUAAGAAAAAUAUUGAGAAUAUUAUUUUGUACACUACUAAUCAAUUUAAUAUUUAAUUUAAUAAAAAGUAUCAAUUUGAUAGUUAAUUUAAUAAAAAGUAGAAUAUUCUUUUAUAUGGAUCAGCUUAUUUUUCUAAGGAUUCUUUGAAUCAUCCUAGUGAUGACACGUGGUUAUGAAAACAUGUUGUAAUGUUUCAGGUUUAAUAUAUAGGGAAUGGAUUGCAUAAUUGCAUUAUUAUUUUAGUAUUCUCUGAUUAUCGUUUUAUACGUACUUGAACAAAAAAUGGCUUACAUGUUAAACUUUAUUUGAUCUAGUGUUUCAUUUAGAGGACUAACUCUCUUGUAAAUUGUAAUAGUUUUCUGUGUCUCUAGUUCUGGUAAAUUUGAAAUUAAUGGCGUUUAUCGACGAUGAUGAAGAGGAAAACUUUGUUCCUCAAUUAGCCACCAAUUACUAUUUCGAAGACGACGACAAGGAACCUGUGUCAUUCUCGUGUCUGCCAAUUUAAUGGAGUGACAAGGAGAAAGUAGACGGAAGUGUAGCUGGUUUGUACUUGAAAAGAACCUCUGAUUAUGGUCUUUUGCCUCUGCAUAACAGCAUAAGCUGGUUAAGGCUUGGAGGUUCGACCUUUCCAACUUCAUAUCGGAGAUCUGUUCUCACAAAGGACAAUGUCUGGAUUAAGCUUGAGAAGCAAAAAAAAGGUACGCGGAGUUGCUAAAAUCAUCUCCAACUCAUUUCUAUAAUAUAAAUUUCUAAAAUAGAAAAAAAAAAGUAGAGACAAAGAUUUUGCUCUCUGUAAUAGAUGAAUGAUACAUUCACUUUUACCUCUAUAAAUAGAUGAAUGUUUUUUUUUCUAUUAUAGUGAAAAACAUUGGAGCAAAAUUUCAUAAAAAAAUAGACGUAAGUUGGAGAUGUCCUAAGAAUUGUUCUGGUGAAAUAGAUAUCUUAAUGUUUUUUUUAUACAGAUGCUCUUAAUAUAUUAAAAUAAUUCAUGGGCUUUAUAUUAGAUUAAUCCAAAGCAGGGAAGAGACAUGACGAGUUAGUUUUUGGAUAUCCAAGAAAGUAGAACACAAUGGAAUAAAAGCCAAAAGCAGUACUUUAUUGUUUUCAUUAAUGUGUAGAACACGGUUCUUGUAGAUAGAGAAGGUGACUUAAAAAUAACUUCAAAAUUUGUUGAUUUUAUUUGAAUAGAACACCAUAAGAAAUAAUAACUUAGGGACUUAAUAUUCAGAUGGUGGCAAAGUACGCAGCAGGCCGGAUUGUGUCCAGUCCACCUCAGUUCUUCAAUCUGCGUGUUAGAGAAGAACAAAUUAAAAAAACGUAAGACUUUCUCUCUUUACUCAACCAGUUUCUAAUAUUGUUAAUGGUACUUUGAUUUUUACCGACCAUGGCAAGCAUGAGGGAUUGUUAACGCCACAAUUGGCUAAAAGAGCCUUGAGUUUUGAUGGGUCAAUCCCGGACCUGGAGAGGAACGGGCAGAGACAUUCAAGAUUCGCGGUUUUGGCCACUGUGCAGCAGGCGGGAGUCGGAGGUGGAGGGUAGUUUCCAGUGACAGCUGGACGACAUUUCUGCAAGUCAUUUGUGUCGACGUUACAUAGGGGAAUGCUCUUAGUUUCUUGGAUCAUUAUCGCUGCGGUUAAAACCAGCGCAAGAACUGUGAUGAGGAUUCUUGUAUUGUUC